GGUAGCGUGGCCGAGUCGUCUAAGGCGCUGGUUUUAGGCACCAGUCUCUUCGGAGUCGUGGGUUCGCAUCCCACCGCUGCCA
rfam:Stegodyphus mimosarum contig116369, whole genome shotgun sequence.